rnacentral:lncRNA from 1 species
UACAACUCCCGUCUACUGAGAGCAGGUGCGCAUUUGGGAGCAUGAACAAUUCAUUUCAUGAGUUCAUUUCAUGAUUACCUAUCUCAAGGAAAGGAACCUUCAUACACAAUGUGGGAAGCAUGCUUCAAAAGGUGGACAACAAUGAGACCAAGAAUGAGAAUCAGACCACAUCCUAGGACUCAACAGCUCGGGUUGAAAGAGUUCCGAACUCAGAUAUCAGCUCCAUCUUCAAGCAGAAUGGAGAGUAAAGGGUUGCAAGAGGAACACAACACUGGGCAGGGAUCAGAAUGACAAAAACCAAACCCAUGGGCUUAGAGGAAAACGUGGAAGACAAGGCAGGAGGUGAGACAGUUGAGACCCAGAGAGGUAUGAUGGCUUCCUGAAGUCAUCAUGGAAUAUGUAUCACGGAGAUGGGUAUGCAGCUGAGGUAGAGCUUUCUUUGUGAAAGGUAGGUGGGGGCACUGAGCCAUCCAGGGUACCUGAUGGAGAUUUUGUCUGUCACUGUAAUAGGCUAAUGAAUCUC